CUUCGGGUAUUGAGGAUGGCGGACGGGUGAGUAACGCGUAAGGAACUUGCCUCUUGGUCUGGGACAACUGUUGGAAACGACAGCUAAUACCGGAUAUUAUGAGAUUCUCGCAUGGGAAACUUAUGAAAGCUAUAUGCGCCAAGAGAGAGCCUUGCGUUCCAUUAGCUAGUUGGUGGGGUAACGGCCCACCAAGGCGACGAUGGAUAGCCGGCCUGAGAGGGUGAACGGCCACAAGGGGACUGAGACACGGCCCUUACUCCUACGGGAGGCAGCAGUGGGGAAUAUUGGACAAUGGACCAAAAGUCUGAUCCAGCAAUUCUGUGUGCACGAUGAAGGUCUUCGGAUUGUAAAGUGCUUUCAGUUGGGAAGAAGCAAGUGACGGUACCAACAGAAGAAGCGACGGCUAAAUACGUGCCAGCAGCCGCGGUAAUACGUAUGUCGCAAGCGUUAUCCGGAUUUAUUGGGCGUAAAGCGCGUCUAGGCGGAAAAAUAAGUCUGAUGUUAAAAUGCGGGGCUCAACUCCGUAUUGCGUUGGAAACUGUUUUUCUAGAGUACUGGAGAGGUGGGCGGAACUACAAGUGUAGAGGUGAAAUUCGUAGAUAUUUGUAGGAAUGCCGAUGGAGAAGUCAGCUCACUGGACAGAUACUGACGCUAAAGCGCGAAAGCGUG
rnacentral:rRNA from 1 species